AUCAAAAUCACAUCACCAAAAAGAGCCACAAACUCUGGUUCAAAAAAACAAAAAUAAUUUAUAAGUUCAUGUCGGGUAGGUUUCCACCCGAUGUGAAAGGUGUUUUAUAUUUUCAAAUAGCUCACAAAGUGUCUUGUAUUUUUCUUUGCUCAUUCCUAAAGUCUUUCUCGUCACUGCGUCCUAUCCUUUUCUCCGUCCCUGCUCCGUCUUUCGUCAGCCUUCUACCUGGAAUUUCUUUAUAAGAGUUAUGGAUCGUAGUUGGAUGAAAGCUAGCCGCUUAAGCGAUGAGUAUGAGAAUGGAGUGACAGAUUUUCUCCAAUUUGCUGAAAGAAACCUUCCUAAUAGUAACGGAAUGUAUCCUUGUCCUUGUGUUAAAUGUGGGAAUCGGAGUCCAAAGCAAACUCCUGAGGAAAUACGGAACCAUCUUAUAUGUGAAGGGAUUUCUCAAAAUUAUACAACAUGGAUUUGGCAUGGUGAAUCGUUGAACAAGCAGAGUGUAUCCCACGUUAAGAAAUGACAGUAGAGAUGUAAACUUUUGAGCUGUAACUUUAUGCCAACAUGUUUUGGGUAUGUUAUGUACUUCUGUGCAUGCUUUUGGAGAUAUUUUGAGGUACUUUUUGGAACAUAUGUGUGACAAAUAUGCAUGAUAGAUCUUAAAUUGCCUCUGCCAUUGCCAUGUUAAUUUGCUAUUGCCAAUUUGGAUAUAUGUGUGACAUUU